rnacentral:tRNA from 1 species
AAGGAAUUAGUUAAAAUAUAACACUAGUAUGUCAAACUAAAAUUAUCAAUAGAUAUUUCUUU